rnacentral:sRNA from 1 species
GCUGGGUGUGGUGGCUCACACCUGUAAUCCCAGCACUUUGGGAGGCCAAGGCGGGUGGAUCACUUGAGGCCAGGAGUUCAAGACUGGCCUGGCCAACAUGGUGAGAUCCCGUCUCUACUAAAAUACAAACAUUAGCUGGGCAUAGUGGUGCAUGCCUGUAAUCCCAGCUACUCAGGAGGCUGAGACAGGAAAAUCACUUGAACCUGGGAGGUGGAGGUUGCAGUGAGGCAAGAUCAUGCCAUUGCACCCGAGCCUGGGAGACAGAGUGAGACCCUGUCUC